UACGUAGGGCGCAAGCGUUGUCCGGAAUUAUUGGGCGUAAAGAGCUCGUAGGCGGCUUGUCACGUCGGAUGUGAAAGCCCGAGGCUUAACCUCGGGUCUGCAUUCGAUACGGGCUAGCUAGAGUGUGGUAGGGGAGAUCGGAAUUCCUGGUGUAGCGGUGAAAUGCGUAGAUAUCUGGAGGAACACCGGUGGCGAAGGCGGCGUUCUGGACUGUUUCUGACACUGAAAAACGAAAGCCAGGGGAGCAAACGGG
rnacentral:rRNA from 1 species